UGCUGUUUUUUUCUUGUGAUUCGAUUGUCGCUGUAUUUUUCCUUUUUUUAGGUGGUCUGAGAGGAAGGGGGAAGUUGGUGACGGUGACCAUUUUUUUUUUGAGGUGGUCUGAGAGGAAGGGGGCAGUUGCAGUUGUUGAAGGUGACUAUGGAGAGAGAGAGAGAGAGAGAGAGAGAGAGAGAGAGAGAGGCGGUCAAAGAAAAAGAAAGGAAUUUUAUUAUUGGAUGAGGGAUAUUUUCGGCCAUUUAAGCUAUGUAUGUGAAACUUCCCGGAAAUGUACCUGCAGCGUUAUUCUUGUGGCGUUAUUCCUGUAGCGUUAUUCUUGAAUUUGAAUUGAAGAAGAGGGCUUCUAUAUUCUAUUUCUCCGUUCCAAGGUGCGGUGCUCACGCAAAGAGGGAACCCAAACCCAGCGCCUCAAACGGAGACGAAGGCUUCGUUGAACGACAAACCAGUCGACUUAACUCGCACUCGCACAUCUCUCUCUCUCUCUCUCUCUCUCUCUCUCUCUAUUGCUACCGUUUUCAUUUUUUGGUAACGAAACACAACCGCCUUCGAUUCAAUCUCUUUCUCUGAAGAAGGAGAAGAUGAGGAAUUCGUUUCGGAAGCUGCGGAGCUUUGCGCUUCAGAGGCACGGAGACACCAAGGAUCGAAAAGACCGUCGUUUCGGGCAAUUGAUGCCCCAAAUGGACGAGCUCGCGCGUGCUUCCCAGGACAUGCAAGAUAUGAAAGACUGCUAUGAUAGCUUGCUUUCUGCUGCUGCUGCAACAGCAAACAGUGCAUAUGAAUUCUCAGAAUCAUUAAGGGAAAUGGGUACUUGUCUCCUUGAGAAGACUGGUUUAAAUGAUGAUGAAGAAAGUGGUAAAGUUUUGCUUAUGUUGGCAAAGUUGCAGUUUGAACUUCAGAGACUUGUUGACAAUUAUCGGUCUCAUAUUUCACAGACAAUCACAAGCCCAUCAGAGUCUCUUCUGAAUGAACUUCGAAUAGUUGAGGAGAUGAAGAGACAGCGUGAUGAGAAAAGAAGUGCAUAUGAGUACAUGAUAACAAGAUAUAGAGAAAAGGGGAGGAUGAGAAGCAAUAAAGGAGAAAGUUUUUCUUCUCAGCAAGUGCAAGCAGCUUACGAUGAGUAUGAUGAAGAGGCAACCUUAUUCAUGUUCCGUUUGAAAUCUCUGAAGCAAGGACAGUUAAGGAGUCUUCUUACACAGGCAACUCGGCACCAUGCUGCUCAGAUCUGCUUCUUUAGAAAGGGCCUCAAAUCUCUAGAGAAAGUUGAGCCAUAUGUCAAAUUGGUUGCCAAACAGCAACACAUUGAUUACCAGUUCCCUGGACUUGAAGAUGAUGAUGGUGAAAAUGAUGAUAGUGACAACAAUGACAAUGAUGAUGAAGAUGGAAGCUAUAGUGUGCAUGAUUAUUUUGGGUUGAGCUUUGACCAUGGACGAAAUGAGCAGGGGCAAAAAGUUCCUACAUCAAGAGACUCAAUGGAGGAAAGUUUAGAUAGAAAUCCUGGUCGGAAUUCCUUUGCCAACGGCAGAGAUCAAAAGACAAGCAGCCAAUCAGAGCCACUUCCUGCUGAGAAGGAAUUUGAUCCUGCUGAAAGAUUCAGACAAAUAAGGCCAUUAGCAUCACGGAAAUCUCAUUCUUACGUACUCCCUACACCAGUUGAACGGAAGAGUCCAGUUUCUAUGGUGCCAAAUACUCAAGUUUCUCAAGCAAGAAGGGCAAGUUCUGUUGAUGCAGUUGGUUUCUAUCAUUCAUCUCCCUUGGAACGGGAAAAGAAUACAAAUGCUUUGGGCAAUGAGAAUUUUUCUGGUCCUAACAUCCAUAGUCCACCAACUGUACUCAGAGAGAGCGACAGUUUUACUCCAUUGACCUCCUUAACCCCGCCUUUGGUUGAGGAUCUCUCAUCUCAGCGGGUGGAUUUAAGUACUGUAUUUGAUGCUAAAAAAAUCAGAAGACAAGCUUUUUCUGGUCCAUUGACAAGUAAGGCAUCACUUAAUAAGCCAGGUGUAUCUGCCUCUACCCCUCUCAUCUCAAGAGGACCAUCUAAUCUGUUGUCUGGACCUCGAAUGCCUCAGCCUUUGACGUCUCCAAAAUUAUCCCCAAGUGCUUCUCCUACUUUUGUGGCAUCCCCUAAAAUAAGUGAGCUUCAUCAGCUUCCAAGACCCCCAACCAAUUCGGCAUCCUACAUGGCUGGAAGAGCUUCAAACAAAGUUGGUCAUUCAGGGCCCUUGGUGUCCAUAGGUCAUGAAGUACCUGCUGCAAAUAAGUUGGCACCCAAUGUGGUGACUUUGCUGCCAACACCUCCAUUGACAAUCUCUCGUAGUUUCUCUACACCCUCCAGAGGAACAAAAGGAACUACUUCACUUGUGUCCUUGCCAUUAGGAGCAUCCCUUGCUCCAAAGAGAUCUGAAGAUAUUGCUUCACCUCCUCUGACACCAAUUUCCUUUCCAAGCACCCACCCUGGACCGACUGCUUAAUAGAACUUAAAGAAAAUCUUGGAGUGAAGGGAGGACCUAACGACUUACAUCCAGGAGUUAAAAAUCGCUUCUAAAUUUGUUCACAAUUCUUAACAAAGUUUAAAUAAUAAAUGGCGCAGGUUGAUCUUUCAGUAAAUAUUUUUAGUUUCUCCAACUCAUUUGGUGGCAGUCAAAGAUGAGGCGCUCAUUAUUACCUACAGAUGCAGGUAUGUAAAUAUAACAUCAAUUUUGUUCGACUGUGGCUACCUUUGCAGGUUGAGCUUUUUAUCCCAAUGAGAGCAAAGUUUGAAGCAUUCGAAUACUGCCAUGUCUUCCAUGAGAUGAUGGAUUUUAUACAAAUUUUGUGCCUUUUUUUUCACCUUCUGGUUUACUGUAAUAUCUUGAAGAAAUUGCUGCAUGUGGAAUAGUAGAUUCUCAA